GGCAACUUGGCCGAGUGGUCUAAGGCGAUGCACUCAAGGAUUUCUCCUUGCCCCAUCCAAUGGGGUAGAUUUGCAUUAUCGAAAGAUGCGUGAGUUCGAAUCUCACAGUUGUCA
rnacentral:tRNA from 1 species